GGCUCUAACCGCACUACAGCGGCCGCUGAUGCGAGCUGCAGUUUCCAUUCAUGGAAGUUCUAUUUGUACAUAUGUGAGCUCCAAUUUUUAUGGCCAAGAUAAUUUGGAAGUUUCACCUCAACUUCUUUCGGAAGCUCACUUGGUUCACAAUCCCCGCUUCUGGAGUUUAGUGGAGCCUGCUGUUGGCGAUGGAGUGAACUUCACAAGUUCAUCUCUCAACGGUGCUUGUCUGCUUGUUGCUGGACCUUUGAGGCUCAAGCAUGUUUGGAACUUACCAGUAAAAAAAAUGUAUGAAAAUGAAGACACUUGCAUUUGUAGUUCAGCGUUUGCGCAGUACUUGAGCGGCUACAGAAUGCUGACGAUGUUCUCUCGGGAGCAUUGCCAGAAUGAGUGCAGUAUAGUGGAACCAAGGACCACUUUCGACAACAAAUUUUGACCAGGAUGAUUCACGAAUAAAAAUUGAAGGAGACUAUCGAUAGCGAAGCUAGUGAGGCGGAUUCCUAUUUGGUAAUCUACAAUCCUUUCGUUGCAGAUUUCUGCAGUAGCAUGUCGCGCUGGUGGCGGUCAUGUCCUAAAAUUAUUGGACGGGGCCAUGUGGCGCUGAUUCCCUGGCCGAUACCUUAUGUGACCGGGUGCGUGCUCCUCCACCAGGUACCAUCUCUCCCACGCAAACAGUGCUGGAUUCUCUCGGAGGGUACCCAUAGUUAUAGUGAAGGGGGAGUUGCGGUGCUGUGAGUUGAAUUGUUCUUGUGAGACUCCAGUCCGUCAUGUGCCAUGAAGCUCAAGACUGAUUUUGGGGAAGUUCAUACUGUUGCGGCCUGAAGCCCACUGUGCAGGCAACAAGUCACCAAAGUUUAGCGCGAUGCUGUGGGUAGGAUUCUCAGACUGAAUCCCAUGCAGAAGGUGUUGGCGAUCGAGACCAUCAGAGCAGGAAGCUACUGGUGAGAAGCUGCUUCCCAAAAUCAAUUGCUGAUUUUUGGACAUGGUGCAAGCCCAGGACUGCUUCCAGGUGGAGCAGCAUGUGCAUUGUUCGGAACUGUUACUGGGCGUGUAGUAUUUGAUUUCUAUUAUAGAAUUUUUUUGUUAGCAUAUUAUUGUGCAGUGCUUGUGCGACAGCUGACUAGUUUGCACUGCUUUGUAAAAUUGUGUGAGCUGUAUUGCAGUACAUGGACGGUGAACUCACUUUUAUAUUCGGAA